GAUGAACGCUGGCUACAGGCUUAACACAUGCAAGUCGAGGGGAAACGACGGGGAAGCUUGCUUCCCCGGGCGUCGACCGGCGCACGGGUGAGUAACGCGUAUCCAACCUGCCUCUGACUGAGGGAUAACCCGUCGAAAGUCGGCCUAAUACCUCAUGGCAUCGUCUGCGGGCAUCCAACGACGAUUAAAGAUUUCAUCGGUCAGAGAUGGGGAUGCGUCUGAUUAGCUUGUUGGCGGGGUAACGGCCCACCAAGGCGACGAUCAGUAGGGGUUCUGAGAGGAAGGUCCCCCACAUUGGAACUGAGACACGGUCCAAACUCCUACGGGAGGCAGCAGUGAGGAAUAUUGGUCAAUGGGCGAGAGCCUGAACCAGCCAAGUAGCGUGCAGGAUGACGGCCCUAUGGGUUGUAAACUGCUUUUAUGCGGGGAUAAAGUGAGGGACGUGUCCUUCAUUGCAGGUACCGCAUGAAUAAGGACCGGCUAAUUCCGUGC
rnacentral:rRNA from 1 species